rnacentral:rRNA from 1 species
CCUACGGGAGGCAGCAGUGAGGAAUAUUGGUCAAUGGACGAGAGUCUGAACCAGCCAAGUAGCGUGAAGGAUGACUGCCCUAUGGGUUGUAAACUUCUUUUAUAUGGGAAUAAAAUGUUCCACGUGUGGGAUUUUGUAUGUACCAUAUGAAUAAGGAUCGGCUAACUCCGUGCCAGCAGCCGCGGUAAUACGGAGGAUCCGAGCGUUAUCCGGAUUUAUUGGGUUUAAGGGGAGCGUAGGUGGAUUGUUAAGUCAGUUGUGAAAGUUUGCGGCUCAACCGUAAAAUUGCAGUUGAAACUGGCAGUCUUGAGUACAGUAGAGGUGGGCGGAAUUCGUGGUGUAGCGGUGAAAUGCUUAGAUAUCACGAAGAACUCCGAUUGCGAAGGCAGUUCACUGGACUGUAACUGACACUGAGGCUCGAAAGUGUGGGUAUCAAACAGGAUUAGAUACCCCAGUAGUC